GGAAAUCUUCAGGGCAAGGUGCGAAAGCGUUAGCUUUCAAUUCCUGACCGGCGGUAUAGUCCGCGAGUCUUAUUUUUAAAUAGGACCGAACUGGUGUGAUUCCAGUACCGACAGUAUAGUCUGGAUGGAAGAAGAUGUGC
rfam:Butyrivibrio fibrisolvens 16/4 draft genome.